CUGCCUACGGGAGGCAGCAGUGGGGAAUAUUGCACAAUGGGGGGAACCCUGAUGCAGCGACGCCGCGUGAGUGAAGAAGUAUUUCGGUAUGUAAAGCUCUGUCAGCAGGGAAGAAGAAAGACGGUACCUGACCAAGAAGCCCCGGCUAACUACGUGCCAGCAGCCGCGGUAAUACGUAGGGGGCAAGCGUUAUCCGGAUUUACUGGGUGUAAAGGGAGCGUAGACGGCAGGGCAAGUCUGGAGUGAAAGGCAGGGGCUCAACCCUUGGACUGCUUUGGAAACUGUGCUGCUCGAGUGUCGGAGAG
rnacentral:rRNA from 1 species